AGUGAACGCUGGCGGUAGGCCUAACACAUGCAAGUCGAACGGCAGCACAGUAAGAGCUUGCUCUUACGGGUGGCGAGUGGCGGACGGGUGAGGAAUACAUCGGAAUCUACUUUUUCGUGGGGGAUAACGUAGGGAAACUUACGCUAAUACCGCAUACGACCUACGGGUGAAGCAGGGGAUCUUCGGAACUUGCGCGAGUGAAUGAGCCGAUGUCGGAUUAGCUAGUUGGCGGGGUAAAGGCCCACCAAGGCGACGAUCCGUAGCUGGUCUGAGAGGAUGAUCAGCCACACUGGAACUGAGACACGGUCCAGACUCCUACGGGAGGCAGCAGUGGGGAAUAUUGGACAAUGGGCGCAAGCCUGAUCCAGCCAUACCGCGUGGGUGAAGAAGGCCUUCGGGUUGUAAAGCCCUUUUGUUGGGAAAGAAAAGCAGCAGGUUAAUACCCCGCUGUUCUGACGGUACCCAAAGAAUAAGCACCGGCUAACUUCGUG
rnacentral:rRNA from 1 species